UACAGAGGUCUCAAGCGUUGUUCGGAUUCAUUGGGCGUAAAGGGUGCGUAGGCGGCGCGGUAAGUCGGGUGUGAAAUCUCGGAGCUUAACUCCGAAACUGCAUUCGAUACUGCCGUGCUUGAGGACUGGAGAGGAGACUGGAAUUUACGGUGUAGCGGUGAAAUGCGUAGAUAUCGGGAGGAACACCAGUGGCGAAGGCGGCACUCUGGGCCAGUACUGACACUGAGGAGCGAAAGCGUGGGGAGCGAACAGG
rnacentral:rRNA from 1 species